rnacentral:tRNA from 1 species
CAUUAUGAAGCUACCGCAGCAUUAACCUUUUAAGUUAAAGAUAGAGAGCUUGCUCUCCAUAAUGA